CACAGUAGUAAAGACGCUGACAGUUGGUAGUUAGCUAGCUAACAAACAUAUAUAAAAAUAUAAAAAAAUAAACAGAAUAACUAGAAGUAGAAUACCUACUAGAAAUAUAAUCAUAACUAGACAAGCAUUUCCUGCAGAAAAUGCAGAGUGUAAUUGCCCCCCGCGAUUAAAAAAUGAGUGCGGGCCAAGACGUCUUUCGAUGUAGCUAAUGUUAACAUGCUAGGUCGCUAUCGUCCUGACUGGCCUUAAAGCAGUAGUAGUAGUAAAGCAGUGGUCUCGUUAGCGUUUGGAAACAAAAUCUCAAAAACUGUAGGAGGAGAAGCGGCACCAAAAAAUAAUAAUAAACGUGAAAUAAUAGUGAACGUAGAGACUCCAGCGACCAUAUGUAGCAGGAUUGCUAAAACAAUGAGUAGGCACACACAAGCUAGUUAGCAUGCUAGGCAGGGCUGACAACAUAGCCGUAUUGGUGGUAGCAGAGAAAAAAAGCCUUACCUUCUGCUGUGCAUGUGAUGCGUAAAUUCCUUGCUGUCUUGGAGGUAGGUUUUAAACUAUGAACAUGCAUGCUGCGUACCGUUGGUGCAGAUCUGACGGCUGUUUGUUUUAUAGGUGGCCAUAGACUGAGCGGUGCUGCCUGGAUAACAAUAUCCGCCUUCGUGGUGAAUGAAGGCUCCUGCCUGGGGCUGUAGCCCAAGCGGUCCUGCUACCUCGCUGCCCUGCCCGUCAAGCCAACUGCGUGCCAAGAACCGGACAUUAUUAGCCUGUUGCAGGAUCAUAGGGUGCCACACAUAUGAUGUUUUGGCUGAGAUGUUGGAAGAUGUGCACAGAGAAUUCAAGGAAGAAGAGGAGGACAACCCUGUCUUCAUAAAUGUCACAGACAUCUUAAACAAAACAGAAGAAGACUACAGUCUCCCACCUCAUCAGCGAUGUGCCUGCCACACUCUCAACCUGGUUGUCACAAGAGACAUUGAGAGUGCUUUAACCUAGUCAGAGCCCUUUAAAAAAAUAUCAAGAUCAAGAUUGGCAAAUGCCAGGCACUAUGGAACAAGCAACACAGGAGCACACAAGCUUCAGAUAUCAUCAAAAACAAGCUAGGGUGCCAGCUGAUAGUUCCCAGUCCAACAAGGUGGAACUCCACUUACCAUGCCAUGGAGCGCUUGAAUACCUGUAUCCUGACAAAAGAACAAGACCUUCAGGAAACCUGUGAGAAGCUGCUCGCUUCAAAGCGGCAGAACUCACCUUCAUACAGGAUUAUGUUUAGGUUAUGGCACCCCUGGCCAAGGCCCUUGACGUACUACAGUCUGAUAGAAUGGCCUACACAGGAGUGUUGGUGCCAACAAUCAUGAUUCUCCUUGAGAAGAUGGAGCAGAUGAAGCAUGAGACAAACCUGCAUCCCUGUAACCCACUGGUAGAUGCCAUCAUCAAUGGGGUGAAGCAGAGGUUUGGUUACAUUUUUCAAGAUGAAAGGUUGCUCAUAGCCUCUGCAGCUCAACCUAUGUUCAGAUUGGCCCCAGCGGAAAGAAGGCUGAUGUUGUGUCAAACCUGAAAGGAAAAAGUAAACCUGCCACAAACUCAAUCUCUAGAUGACAUGCAGACAGAUGGCGAGGACCCAAGUGAUGACAGUGAUGAAGUAACUGGUUACUUCCCAUCACUGAGAACAACAACAGUUCUGAAUGAAGUGGACAGCUAGUUGCAAUCGACUGAAACCAACCUUGUCAAUGCAUUCCAAAACCUGCCGAUGAUGAAGAUCUUCCUGAAUUACAACACAGGAGUCCCUGCUAGUGCAGCUUGUGAACGACUCUUUAGUAUAGGAAAAGAAAGAUAUUUUCCGACCAAAGAGAAACCGUCUUUCCGAUGCAAAUUUUGAAAAGCUUCUGUUGUGUCGUGUGAACAAACACCUCUAGUGAGAAAGAUCAGGGUCCAGCCUGGCCACUUCAUCCUCUAGUGAGGAGGAAACUUUGAUAUGCAGAAGCUUGAUUCAAUGGAGAGAGAUACUGUAUGUCUCACAAACACACACUCACAUGCACACCUGCAUUUUGUUAUUAUG